GACUCCACUCAGCAAGGGAGCCUAGCAGCACCCUGCGAACCAACAACCUUCUCUUUCAAUGGUGGUGAUCCAAAUCAGUGUGGAGCAGAAUGCACCAUAGAGAUGUACAACUCUCCUGUUGAACACCUCAAGACUGAAGACUGCAAGGAAAGAACGCUAAUCUACACCGAGCAUCUGAAGAACAACAAACAAGUCCUCCAGCACAUUGAAUCCAAAACCUGUUCCAGUUCCUCAGCGUCAGAGACUGUUUUGAAAGCCCUCUACUAU